rnacentral:rRNA from 1 species
UGCUGCUGAUUUUUUGGAUGGGGAUUUAGUCACUGUUAGGGUGAAUUUAAUUGUGUCGGCUACCUUUGGUAUAAGGGAAACAGGAGGUUUUAUUAGUAUUUAAACCCAAACCCCCAGAGGAUAUUAUUUUUGUUUGUUUAAAUGCAAUAAAAAAGUAAUUUUGUUGUGAUAUGCUUACGAUGGGGGUAUAGGUGUAUGGGUUGUGUAAGGAAAGCUAUCAUUACCCACUCCCAUCCCCCUAAUAACCCAAAAGCUUAUAAUUGUUAUUAGUUUAUACGUUAACGUGGGUCUGUAUAAUAUUGGGUUAUAAGUGGGGUUAAAAGUUUUAAUAGUUGUUUUAUUUGAAUCUGUAUAUUAGUAGCUUAUUAUUAGUAGUAACAAAAGUUGGCAGUAAAAUUUAACUCAGGGUUGCAGCAAAUGUUUAAUAAAAACAUUUCUACACUAGUGUGUAGUAACCCCUGCCCAGCUGCAGUGUAAAGGGCCACAGUAAUUUGACUGUGCUAAGGUAGCAUAAUAAUUAGGUUGUUGAUUGCAAUCUUGUAUGAACGGGGGUAUGACUGUAUGAAUUGAAUUUAUUGUGUUAGAACUUGCUUGUAUGUGAAAAUGCAUAUAAAUGAUUAAAGACGGAAAGACCCUAGAACCUUUAUGAUUUUUCAUUUUGUUGGGGCAAUGGGUGAAAUUUGUAAUUUCAUUUUUUAGGUACUCUAGGGUUAACAGGGAAAUGGGGUUAAAAACCCAGAUUUCCACCUCGAUGUUGGAUCAUCCUAAUAUAAGUCUGUUCGACUUCAUGCGGGUACGUGAUCUGAGUUUAGAUCGGCGUGAGCUAGAUCGGUUCUUAUCUUGAUGUGUCUUAUUGUAGUACGAGAGGGGGCGAUAGGUAUAACAGUU